UACGGAGGGGGCUAGCGUUGUUCGGAAUUACUGGGCGUAAAGCGCACGUAGGCGGCUUUGCAAGUUAGAGGUGAAAGCCCGGGGCUCAACUCCGGAAUUGCCUUUAAAACUGCACCGCUAGAAUUGUGGAGAGGUAAGUGGAAUUCCGAGUGUAGAGGUGAAAUUCGUAGAUAUUCGGAAGAACACCAGUGGCGAAGGCGACUUACUGGACACAUAUUGACGCUGAGGUGCGAAAGCGUGGGGAGCAAACAGG
rnacentral:rRNA from 1 species